rnacentral:rRNA from 1 species
GACGGGGGUCGCAAGCGUUAUCCGGAUUCACUGGGCGUAAAGGGUCCGUAGGCGGUUAUGCAAGUUACUGGUGCAAUAUUCUGGCUCAACCGGAAGAAUGCCUUCGAAACUGCUUGACUUGAGGGAGGGAGAGGUAGGAGGAAUUCCCUGAGUAGCGGUGAAAUGCGUAGAUAUAGGGAAGAACACCGGCGGCGAAAGCGGUCUACUGGAACUGAGCUGACACUGAGUGACGAAAGCUAGGGGAGCAAACCGG